CCUACGGGAGGCAGUGGGGAAUUUUGGACAAUGGGCGAAAGCCUGAUCCAGCAAUGCCGCGUGUGGGAAGAAGGCCUUCGGGUUGUAAACCACUUUUGUACGGAACGAAACGGUCUGCUUUAAUAAAGUGGGCUAAUGACGGUACCGUAAGAAUAAGCACCGGCUAACUAUGUGCCAGCAGCCGCGGUAAUACGUAGGGUGCGAGCGUUAAUCGGAAUUACUGGGCGUAAAGCGUGCGCAGGCGGUUAUAUAAGACAGUUGUGAAAUCCCCGGGCUCAACCUGGGAAUUGCAUCUGUGACUGUAUAGCUAGAGUACGGUAGAGGGGGAUGGAAUUCCGCGUGUAGCAGUGAAAUGCGUAGAUAUGCGGAGGAACACCGAUGGCGAAGGCAAUCCCCUGGACCUGUACUGACGCUCAUGCACGAAAGCGUGGGGAGCAAACAGGAUUAGAUACCCUGGUAGUCCACGCCCUAAACGAUGUCAACUGGUUGUUGGGUGCAUUAGUACUCAGUAACGAAGCUAACGCGUGAAGUUGACCGCCUGGGGAGUACGGCCGCAAGGUUGAAACUUAAGGAAUUGACGG
rnacentral:rRNA from 1 species